rnacentral:tRNA from 1 species
GGAAAGGUGGCAGAGUGGUUUAAUGCAACGGUUUUGAAAACCGUCGUAACAAAGUUACCGGGGGUUCAAAUCCCUCCCUUUCCG